UACGGGAGGCAGCAGUGGGGAAUAUUGCACAAUGGGCGAAAGCCUGAUGCAGCUAUGCCGCGUGUAUGAAGAAGGCCUUAGGGUUGUAAAGUACUUUCAUCGGGGAGGAAAAAACAAAACUAAUAAUUUUAUUUCUUGACGUUACCCGAAAAAGAAGCACCGGCUAACUCCGUGCCAGCAGCCGCGGUAAUACGGAGGGUGCUAGCGUUAAUCAGAAUUACUGGGCGUAAAGAGCACGUAGGUGGUUUUUUUAAGUCAGAUGUGAAAUCCCUGGGCUUAACCUAGGAGCUGCAUUUUGAAACUGAAAUACUAGAGUAUCGUAGAGGGAGGUAGAAUUCUAGGUGUAGCGGUGAAAUGCGUAGAUAUCUGGAGGAAUACCUGUGGCGAAAGCGGCCUCCUAAACGAAUACUGACACUGAGGUGCGAAAGCGUGGGGAGCAAACAGGGAUUAGAUACC
rnacentral:rRNA from 1 species